rnacentral:lncRNA from 1 species
UAUGUUGUCCUUGUCAAGAAAUUAUGCUAUUAGAUAAAAAAUUCAUGAUUGGAUGAUUUAAAGGACAGUGAUCAAACAAAAAACAAAACACUUCUACUAUUUUUUUUUGGAGAUUCAAGAAAUUAUACUAUAUGAUCUAGUUUCAUGACAUGACAAUGAUCAAGAAAAAGCUUAGUCCCUCCUAAUUCCUUACCCCUACAAGACAAGAAAGACACAAAUCCAUAGCCCUCAUAAAAAGUCAAGCUUCUACACCAAAAGUCAAGGCCUGUAAAAGAAACAUCCCCAUUUCC